UACAUAGGUUACAAGCGUUAUCCGGAUUUACUGGGCGUAAAGCGAGCGCAGGCUGACUUACAAGUCUGGUGUUAAAUGCAGUUGCUUAACAAUUGUAUGCAUUGGAAACUGUAAGUCUAGAGUGUGAUAGGGAGUUCUGGAACUCCAUGUGGAGCGGUGGAAUGCGUAGAUAUAUGGAAGAACACCAGUGGCGAAAGCGAGAACUUAGGUCACAACUGACGCUUAGGCUCGAAAGUGUGGGGAGCAAAUA
rnacentral:rRNA from 1 species